GUGCUUGCUUAAGCACCAUGUAUACUAAAAUUGGAACGACACAGUGGAUUAACAUGGCCUCUGAACAAGGGUGAUAACACAAGUUUAUGAAGCAUUCCAUGUCUUU